CGGAGCAUGGCGCAGCCUGGUAGCGCGCCUGUCUGGGGGACAGGAGGCCGUGGGUUCAAAUCCCGCUGCUCCGACCA
rnacentral:tRNA from 1 species